GUGCAGUUCAGUCUCCACAGAGUACUUCAUCGGGCAGCGGUUGCUCCAGUCAAGCUGUCAGCCCACAGAGGUCACCAACUCCUCCUGGUCCCGGAAAUCAAUGUCCUGACGAAGUUCAUUUUCGUCCUGAUUUUGAGAUUCCAGACUUUAGGUUAUCUGGUAAUAGCUCACCAUCGUCCUUAGUGAAACAUGUGCAGCAAUGUAGUCGUGAUAUUUCCCCACUCCAUAGCCCAACUAUACCAAGUGCUUUCUCCAACCCAGGAAGUCCAACUAUAUCUGCACGGCAUCAAAGCAAAUCAGGUCCUUUGAGUUGUAAAGAUUCCCCUGAAAGCAGCAAUCAGCUCAAUCC
rnacentral:lncRNA from 1 species